UACGGAGGGUGCGAGCGUUGUUCGGAUUCACUGGGCGUAAAGGGUGCGUAGGUGGUCGGGUGAGUCUGAUGUGAAAUCUCCGAGCUUAACUCGGAAACUGCAUCGGAUACUAUCCGGCUUGAGGAAUGGAGGGGAGAUUGGAAUUCUCGGUGUAGCAGUGAAAUGCGUAGAUAUCGAGAGGAACACCAGUGGCGAAGGCGGAUCUCUGGACAUUUCCUGACGCUGAGGCACGAAAGCCAGGGGAGCAAACGGG
rnacentral:rRNA from 1 species